rnacentral:rRNA from 1 species
UACGAAGGGUGCAAACGUUGCUCGGAAUUAUUGGGCGUAAAGCGCACGUAGGCGGCAUUGCAAGUCGGAUGUGAAAUCCCUCGGCUUAACCGAGGAAGUGCGUCUGAAACUGCUGAGCUUGAGUCUCGGAGAGGAUGGCGGAAUUCCGCGAAGUAGAGGUGAAAUUCGUAGAUAUGCGGAGGAACACCGGUGGCGAAGGCGGCCAUCUGGACGAGUACUGACGCUGAGACGCGAAAGCGUGGGGAGCGAACAGG